AUUGAAAUGACGAUUUACAUUUGUUAUUGAAGUAGUAUACUAGGAUCAGUGCAUUCUUUUUGGAAAUUGAGUUACCGAUUGUCAAAAAAAAAUUUAAGAACGUUGUUGAGUGUGUGUAACACAUAUUAACUCUUAAAAAUAUGGGGAAAGGAGGCAAAGGUGGCAAAGGAUCAGGAUCAGCAGAUGAUAAAAAGGCAGCUGGAGGUAAGGCAGGAGGUGCAGAUGCAAAAACUGCAGCACCUGCGACAAAAGAAGGAAAAAGCGGAGGCAAGAAAGGUGGAAAAAAGUGACCCAAGGAUAAAAAACGUAGAAUAUUAGAAUACUUUUUUAAUAAAGGCUGGAAAAAUACAAAGAUGAUCGUUUGAAUUAAUGUAAAAAAAAUUUUAUAAAUAAAAAAAUAGAAAAAUAA